rnacentral:rRNA from 1 species
AACGAACGCUGGCGGCAGGCUUAACACAUGCAAGUCGAACGCCCCUUUCGGGGGGAGUGGCAGACGGGUGAGUAACGCGUGGGAACGUGCCCUUCAGUUUGGAAUAACCCAGGGAAACUUGGGCUAAUACCGGAUACGCCCUUCGGGGGAAAGAUUUAUCGCUGAAGGAUCGGCCCGCGUCUGAUUAGCUGGUUGGUGAGGUAAUGGCUCACCAAGGCGACGAUCAGUAGCUGGUCUGAGAGGAUGAUCAGCCACAUUGGGACUGAGACACGGCCCAAACUCCUACGGGAGGCAGCAGUGGGGAAUAUUGGACAAUGGGCGCAAGCCUGAUCCAGCCAUGCCGCGUGAGUGAUGACGGCCUUAGGGUUGUAAAGCUCUUUCGCACGCGACGAUAAUGACGGUAGCGUGAGAAGAAGCCCCGGCUAACUUCGUGCCAGCCGCCGCGGUAAAAC